GAACGAACGCUGGCGGCAGGCCUAACACAUGCAAGUCGAGCGCUACCUUUGGGUGGAGCGGCGGACGGGUUAGUAACGCGUGGGAAUAUACCCAGUUCUAAGGAAUAGCCACUGGAAACGGUGAGUAAUACCUUAUACGCCCUUCGGGGGAAAGAUUUAUCGGAAUUGGAUUAGCCCGCGUUAGAUUAGAUAGUUGGUGGGGUAAUGGCCUACCAAGUCUACGAUCUAUAGCUGGUUUGAGAGGAUGAUCAGCAACACUGGGACUGAGACACGGCCCAGACUCCUACGGGAGGCAGCAGUGGGGAAUCUUAGACAAUGGGCGCAAGCCUGAUCUAGCCAUGCCGCGUGAGUGAUGAAGGCCUUAGGGUCGUAAAGCUCUUUCAACUGUGAAGAUAAUGACGGUAGCAGUAGAAGAAACCCCGGCUAACUCCGUGCCAGCAGCCGCGGUAAUACGGAGGGGGUUAGCGUUGUUCGGAAUUACUGGGCGUAAAGCGUACGUAGCGGAUUAAUAAGUUAGAGGUGAAAUCCCAGGGGCUCAACCCUGGAACUGCCUUUAAAACUGUUAGUCUUGAGAUCGAGAGAGGUGAGUGGAAUUCCAAGUGUAGAGUGGAAAUCCGUAGAUAUUUUGAGAACACCAGUGGCGAAGGCCGGCUUCACUGGCUCGAUACUGACCGCUGAGUACGAAAAGUGGGGGGAGCAAACCAGGAUUAGAUACCCUGGUAGGUCCACACCCGUAAACGAUGAAUGCCCAGACGUCAGCAAGCAUGCUUGUUGGUGUCACACCUAACGGAUUAAGCAUUCCGCCUGGGGAGUACGGUCGCAAGAUUAAAACUCAAAGGAAUUGACGGGGGCCCCGCACAAGCGGUGGAGCAUGUGGUUUAAUUCGACGCAACGCGCAGAACCUUACCAACCCUUGACAUACUUGUCGCGGAUUCCAGAGAUGGAUUCCUUCAGUUCGGCUGGACAAUGUACAGGUGCUGCAUGGCUGUCGUCAGCUCGUGUCGUGAGAUGUUCGGUUAAGUCCGGCAACGAGCGCAACCCACGUCCUUAGUUACCAGCAUUUAGUUGGGUACCCUAAGGAGACUGCCGGUGAUAAGCCGGAGGAAGGUGUGGACGACGUCAAGUCAUCAUGGCCCUUACGGGUUGGGCUACACACGUGCUACAAUGGCAUCUACAGUGAGUUAAUCUCCAAAAGAUGUCUCAGUUCGGAUUGGGGUCUGCAACUCGACCCCAUGAAGUUGGAAUCGCUAGUAAUCGCGGAACAGCAUGCCGCGGUGAAUACGUUCCCGGGCCUUGUACACACCGCC
rnacentral:rRNA from 1 species